AUCAGUGGCGAACGGGUGAGUAACACGUGAGCAACCUGCCCUGGACUCUGGGAUAAGCGCUGGAAACGGUGUCUAAUACUGGAUAUGAGCUCCUUCCGCAUGGUGGGGGUUGGAAAGAUUUUUCGGUCUGGGAUGGGCUCGCGGCCUAUCAGCUUGUUGGUGAGGUAAUGGCUCACCAAGGCGUCGACGGGUAGCCGGCCUGAGAGGGUGACCGGCCACACUGGGACUGAGACACGGCCCAG
rnacentral:rRNA from 1 species